GGAGAAACGCACCCAGCCACCGAGAAGACGUGAGGGCUUCGCUUUUCCUUCAAAGGACGGCGAAGUGAGGAUGGUACAAACAGCACGGGGAUCUCAACGCCAUUCUGCCUAACAGCUUUUAAUGUCUGCUUUAAUGGCCGGAUUGCUUUAAGUUUCAGGGACCCUCGGGACGCUGAAUUCCGCCAAAGGCAACCCCCGAGAGAGCUCAGAAUAAAGCCCCAUUUUCUGUUAAUGACACCACAUCACAAAAAUAGUGAAGUGAAGCUCGGCCGGGGUGCUGCAGGCCUCCUGCGAGUACAGCUGCCCAGCUGGAACAUGCCGUCAAACCGCCUUCGCCGUGUGGAGCUGUCAAAACCCCUCGCAGGGAGCAGCUGGUUAAUCCUGAUCGUUUCCUCUCCACAACGAUCAAGAUACUUCUCGUGAACGAGAAAGAGUUACCCCGAUCAGCUCUAAAACCAGCGAAAGAAACAGCUUCUUAGGGGAAAUAUUAUCACCGGGCAUUGGGAGGAGUUAAACGAAUGAGUGUUCCCCGGGCUCCCCGGUUUGUCUGACUGGUUGGAGGACGAGAAGCACCUCGAGUGGCUCCGGGCGAGGGGAUGGGAGGAGGAGAGCACAAACUUUCACUGUGACUCUACCGUGAACUUCCUGCGGUGCGGGCCACACGUGCAGCUUUUCACCUUUUCUUCACGUUCUGGACCAAAUCCUUCCUGUUUUGAUCUAAUAUAGAUAUCAUUAUUUAAAAUAUGGCUGUAAUAGACGUGAACGCCGGGUAACUAACCUUGACAACAUACCUAUAGCUUCGUUUCCUGCCAGGAACUAAUUGGCUUUAAUCCAACUGUUAAAACUCGCUUUUCAGCCUUUAUUAUAGUUACUCUCUAGUAAUGUGUGGGUGGAUUUGUUUGUAGUUUAGCAUAGGCUGUCCCUGGCAUUGCACCAUACCUUGUACAGAACUGUCUAUAGCACCAAACUGGAGGUGGGGGGGAAGGUAAAACAAAUAAGAUUAGGUGCAAAGGCAAUUACUUUAUCGUUCCCGUGGUGGGGAGCUCGAAUUGUGAAGAUAAUGUCAGCGGGCAAUAAAAAACUCUUGGCAAACCCUGCUAACA
rnacentral:lncRNA from 14 species